AACGAACGCUGGCGGCAUGCCUAACACAUGCAAGUCGAACGAGACCUCCGGGUCAAGUGGCGCACGGGUGCGUAACCGGUGGGAACCUGCCCUUAGACUCGGACUAACUUCCCGAAAGGGGUACCAAUACCGGCUAUUGUCCUCGGAACAAAGAUUUAUCGCGUUCGGGUGGGCCGGCGUUGGAUUAGCUAGUUGGUAGGGUAAAAGCCUACCAAGGCGUCGAUCCAUAGCUGGUUUGCGAGGAUGGUCCGCCACUCUGGGGCUAGGACACGGCCCGGACUCCUACGCGAGGGAGCAGUGGGUGAUAUAGGACUAUCGGCGAAAGCCUGAUCCAGCUAUGCCGCGUGAGUGAUGAAGGCCUGAGGGUUGUAAAGCUCUCUUACCCGGGAUGAUAAUGACAGUACCGGAAGAAUAAGCUCCGGCUAACUCCGUG
rnacentral:rRNA from 1 species